rnacentral:rRNA from 1 species
GAUGAACGCUGGCGGCGUGCCUAAUACAUGCAAGUCGAGCGAACGGAUGAGAAGCUUGCUUCUCUGAUGUUAGCGGCGGACGGGUGAGUAACACGUGGAUAACCUACCUAUAAGACUGGGAUAACUUCGGGAAACCGUAGCUAAUACCGGAUAAUAUUUUGAACCGCAUGGUUCAAAAGUGAAAGACGGUCUUGCUGUCACUUAUAGAUGGAUCCGCGCUGCAUUAGCUAGUUGGUAAGGUAACGGCUUACCAAGGCAACGAUGCAUAGCCGACCUGAGAGGGUGAUCGGCCACACUGGAACUGAGGCACGGUCCAGACUCCUACGGGAGGCAGCAGUAGGGAAUCUUCCGCAAUGGGCGAAAGCCUGACGGAGCAACGCCGCGUGAGUGAUGAAGGUCUUCGGAUCGUAAAACUCUGUUAUUAGGGAAGAACAUAUGUGUAAGUAACUGUGCACAUCUUGACGGUACCUAAUCAGAAAGCCACGGCUAACUACGUG